GAGAACAGAGCUUUUACCUCUCGCUCCCCUGCUCCAGAAAGCCCAGCACGGGAAGGGAGAAAACUUCCACAUCCGUAACCUGUGCUAGAUAGGGUAACCGAGGUAUGGUAAGAAGAGGCUGAUGGGCCAGAGGCAGAGCCAUGGUUCAUAAUCGGGGGAGCGAAUGCGAAAUUCAGUCCUGUCUCUUCCCAGCCUCCCUGUGCUGCCUUCCAAAAACAAUGGAUCUCUCAACAACACAGAGCAACGUCCCCUGUCCAGCGAGCCUCAGCCACACUCCCUGUCUCAGGAGGCCGAGGCUUUAUCCCUUUUUCCCUCAAGCAAACACACUCCGUGUUCUCUGGGUGGGGGGCCUUCUCCAGGUGGUGGCGGGCCACCUCCACCCCCCAAAUAGCACGCAAGCACUGGGCUGUUUUGUACCCCCGCCCCCUAGCCUGAGAGCUGUCUAGAGAAAAGUCACCUAGAAAGGAAAACCCUCGGUGGCUUGAGGACUGGUGUAGACUGGGCCAUCUGUGUCUUUUGUAAUCCCCUUUUCUGUUCUCAAUUAUAGGAAGAUUUAAUGGAAA